rnacentral:rRNA from 1 species
AUUGAACGCUGGCGGAAUGCUUUACACAUGCAAGUCGAACGGCAGCACGGGGGCAACCCUGGUGGCGAGCGGCGAACGGGUGAGUAAUACAUCGGAACGUGCCCGGUCGUGGGGGAUAACGUAGCGAAAGUUACGCUAAUACCGCAUACGAUCUGAGGAUGAAAGCGGGGGACCUUCGGGCCUCGCGCGAUCGGAGCGGCCGAUGUCAGAUUAGGUAGUUGGUGGGGUAAAGGCCUACCAAGCCGACGAUCUGUAGCUGGUCUGAGAGGACGACCAGCCACACUGGGACUGAGACACGGCCCAGACUCCUACGGGAGGCAGCAGUGGGGAAUUUUGGACAAUGGGCGCAAGCCUGAUCCAGCCAUUCCGCGUGCAGGACGAAGGCCUUCGGGUUGUAAACUGCUUUUGUAUGGAACGAAAAGGCUCUGGCUAAUACCUGGGGCUCAUGACGGUACCGUAAGAAUAAGCACCGGCUAACUACGUG